rnacentral:rRNA from 1 species
AUACGUAGGGGGCGAGCGUUGUCCGGAAUGAUUGGGCGUAAAGGGCGCGUAGGCGGCCCGGUAAGUCUGGAGUGAAAGUCCUGUUUUUAAGAUGGGAAUUGCUUUGGAUACUGUCGGGCUUGAGUGCAGGAAAGGUAAGUGGAAUUCCCAGUGUAGCGGUGAAAUGCGUAGAGAUUGGGAGGAACACCAGUGGCGAAGGCGGCUUACUGGACUGUAACUGACGCUGAGGCGCGAAAGUGUGGGGAGCAAACAGGAUUAGAUACCCUGGUAGUCCACACUGUAAACGAUGAAUGCUAGGUGUAGGGGGUAUCGACCCCUUCUGUGCCGCAGUCAACACAAUAAGCAUUCCGCCUGGGGAGUACGGCCGCAAGGUUGAAACUCAAAUGAAUUGGCGGGG